AGAGCGAACGCUGGCGGCAGGCUUAACACAUGCAAGUCGAGCGGGCGUAGCAAUACGUCAGCGGCAGACGGGUGAGUAACGCGUGGGAACAUACCUUUUGGUUCGGAACAACCCAGGGAAACUUGGGCUAAUACCGGAUAAGCCCUUACGGGGAAAGAUUUAUCGCCAAAAGAUUGGCCCGCGUCUGAUUAGCUAGUUGGUGAGGUAACGGCUCACCAAGGCGACGAUCGGUAGCUGGUCUGAGAGGAUGAUCAGCCACAUUGGGACUGAGACACGGCCCAAACUCCUACGGGAGGCAGCAGUGGGGAAUAUUGGACAAUGGGCGCAAGCCUGAUCCAGCCAUGCCGCGUGAGUGAUGAAGGCCCUAGGGUUGUAAAGCUCUUUUGUGCGGGAAGAUAAUGACGGUACCGCAAGAAUAAGCCCCGGCUAACUUCGUGCCAGCAGCCGC
rnacentral:rRNA from 1 species